rnacentral:lncRNA from 1 species
ACAUCAGGGUUGGGAGUGGGGAAUCACGGGAGUACAAUGCAACUCAAUAUACCAUGAGAAGGGCUCUACAAGUCUUUGAAAUAGAGGAAAUAAAAUCAAUUUACAAAAGAAGUCAUUUCACAAUUCGGAUCCAAUUUAACUACUCAUAAAGGAGUAUAAUCAAGGCUACCACUCACAAGUCUUUGAAAUAGAGGAAAUGAAAUCAAUUUACAAAAGAAAUCAUUUCACAAUUCAGAUCCAAUUUAAUUACUCAUAAAGGAGUAUAAUCAAAGCUACCACUCACAAGUCUUUGAAAUAGAGGAAAUGAAAUCAAUUUACAAAAGAAAUCAUUUCAUAAUUUGGAAUCAAUUUGAUUACUCAUCAACCUCUCGUAAUUCCUCUCAAUGUUCCCUCAAAUGCAUGUACAGAAUAAUCAAGCAUAGAGAAUCAAGAUUAUAGAGGAAUCUACUACAACAAUUAAUCAAUAAGCUCAGG